rnacentral:rRNA from 1 species
GACGAACGCUGGCGGCGUGCUUAACACAUGCAAGUCGAACGGAAAGGCCCUGCUUGCAGGGUACUCGAGUGGCGAACAGGUGAGUAACACGUGGGUGAUCUGCCCUGCACUUCGGGAUAAGCUUGGGAAACUGGGUCUAAUACCGGAUAGGACUGCACUUUAGUGUGUGUGGUGGAAAGUUUUUUCGGUGUAGGAUGAGCUCGCGGCCUAUCAGCUUGUUGGUGGGGUAAUGGCCUACCAAGGCGGCGACGGGUAGCCGGCCUGAGAGGGUGUACGGCCACAUUGGGACUGAGAUACGGCCCAGACUCCUACGGGAGGCAGCAGUGGGGAAUAUUGCACAAUGGGCGCAAGCCUGAUGCAGCGACGCCGCGUGGGGGAUGAAGGCCUUCGGGUUGUAAACCCCUUUCGCUAGGGACGAAGCUUUUUGUGACGGUACCUAGAUAAGAAGCACCGGCUAACUACGUG